GAUGGUGGCCAAAUGACGAAAACGUGUAACGCUGUCACACAAUGCUCUGUUCUUGUGUUCGGUUUACAAAAAGGAGAGAAGCGAACGUAUGUGUGUACGGUGGAGACCGAUGGCAGAAAGAUGAGCAUUUCCUUCCUUUCCGAAGGAACAGAAAAGAAAACUCUGAGUACCGAUCAAAAGUAAGAACAAACAUGUAUCAAACGUAACUUUGUAUUUACAUGUUUAAUAAUACUAUAACUAUGCCUUAAUAUAAAAUGUUGAAAUAAUAUUUAUAUUACCGUUCUUUUGAACAGUUUUCAACAAUAUAGUCAUAUUUACGAUGUUUCUUGUUUAGUAACCAUUAACAGCCAUCGAAUGUUCCGCAGGGUGAGUACUUGAUUUCAAUCCAUUAACAAAUACGUCAUUUGUAAAUAAUGAUGCACACGGAUUUAUUAUAUUAGUUAUAUAUUUACAAAAACACUUUCUUGAUCUUUAUCACGCAAUAUGAAAUGCGUUUGCUUAAAAGUGAAAACAAUCCAACUGCAUUUACGAUGUUGUUAAACUGACCAAAGAGAUUUAAUAUGUAUUAUGUAUUGCAAAACUCAAAACGCAUUCAGAGACAAGUGCAACAUAUUUUCCUCCCGAUUUCAGAACGUCAUGACGACAACAGCGUCCAGUAUGACGUCGUUCCUGAAGACAUUACAGAGCGCUGGGCGGCACAUAUAUACACGCCUUUCUGUAUGACAGAAACGCAUCUGUACACUGGGAUGCGGGGAUCUAUCUCCAUGUCCCAAGAUCCGUCUUAUGCUCAUGAUCGAAUACCUGAGAGUGACGCUUUAGCUGAGACACAG